UGGGGAAUAUUGGACAAUGGGCGCAAGCCUGAUCCAGCCAUGCCGCGUGAGUGAUGAAUGCCCUAGGGUUGUAAAGCUCUUUCACCGGUGAAGAUAAUGACGGUAACCGGAGAAGAAGCCCCGGCUAACUUCGUGCCAGCAGCCGCGGUAAUACGAAGGGGGCUAGCGUUGUUCGGAUUUACUGGGCGUAAAGCGCACGUAGGCGGACUUUUAAGUCAGGGGUGAAAUCCUGGGGCUCAACCCCGGAACUGCCUUUGAUACUGGAAGUCUUGAGUAUGGUAGAGGUGAGUGGAAUUCCGAGUGUAGAGGUGAAAUUCGUAGAUAUUCGGAGGAACACCAGUGGCGAAGGCGGCUCACUGGACCAUUACUGACGCUGAGGUGCGAAAGCGUGGGGAGCAAACAGG
rnacentral:rRNA from 1 species